rnacentral:rRNA from 1 species
UGGUGGAGUGAUUUGUCUGGUUAAUUCCGUUAACGAACGAGACCUCGACCUACUAAAUAGCUCUCCGAAUUCUCCGGAAUUCGUGUGAUGCUUCUUAGAGGGUCUCUCGGUGUAAACCGAAGGAAGUUCGAGGCAAUAACA